rnacentral:rRNA from 1 species
AGAGUUUGAUUCUGGCUCAGAACGAACGCUGGCAGCGUGGAUUAGGCAUGCAAGUCGAACGAGAAUCUCUGGUGUAGCAAUACACCGGGGAGGAGAGUGGCGAAAGGGCGAGUAACGCGUGGGCAAUCUGCCUCUGAGAUCGGGAUAACCCCGCGAAAGCGGAGCUAAUACCGAAUGUGGUGUUCCGGCGCAUGUCGGGAUUUCUGAAGGUGGGGACCUUUCGGGGCCUGCCACUCGGAGAGGAGCCCGCGUCCUAUCAGCUUGUUGGUGGGGUAACGGCCCACCAAGGCUAUGACGGGUAGCUGGUCUUAGAGGAUGGUCAGCCGCACUGGGACUGAGACACUGCCCAGACUCCUACGGGAGGCUGCAGUCGAGGAUCUUUUGCAAUGGGCGCAAGCCUGACAAAGCGACGCUGUGUGGAGGAUGAAGGCCUUCGGGUUGUAAACUCCUGUCAUGUGGGAAAAACGACUCCGUUCCUAAUACGGGCGGGGAGUGAUGGUACUACAAGAGGAAGUGGUUGCUAACUCUGUGCCAGCAGCAGCGGUAAUACAGAGACCACGAGCGUUGUUCGGAUUUACUGGGCGUAAAGGGCGCGUAGGUGGCUUCGCAUGUCGGACGUGAAAUCCCACGGCUCAACCGUGGAACUGCAUCCGAAACUGCGAGGAUAGAGUGCAGGAAGGGAGAGCGGAAUUCUCGGUGUAGCGGUGAAAUGCGUUGAUAUCGAGAAGAACACCGGUGGCGAAGGCGGCUCUCUGGAAUGCAACUGACACUGAGGCACGAAAGCUGGGGGAGCAAACAGGAUUAGAUACCCUGGUAGUCCCAGCCCUAAACGGUGUGCAUUUGGUGUUGGCGGAAUUGACCCCGCCAGUGCCGGAGCUAACGCGUUAAAUGCACCGCCUGGGGAGUACGACCGCAAGGUUGAAACUCAAAGAAAUUGACGGGGGCCCGCACAAGCGGAGGAGCAUGUGGCUCAAUUCGAUGCAACGCGAAGAACCUUACCAGGGCUUGACAUGCAGCUGCACGUCCCGUGAAAGCGGGAUUCCUUCGAGGGUGCUGCACAGGUGCUGCAUGGCUGUCGUCAGUUCGUGCCGUGAGGUGUUGGGUUAAGUCCCGCAACGAACGCAACCCUUGUGUUUAGUUGCCACUCCCGAUGAUGAGUCGGGAAGCACUCUAAACAGACUGCCUGUACAAGCAGGAGGAAGGUGGGGACGACGUCAAGUCAGUAUGGCCCUUACGCCCUGGGCUGCACACGUGCUACAAUGGCUGGUACAGAGGGGUGCAAGACCGCGAGGUGGAGCUAAUCCCCUAAAGCCAGCCCCAGUUCAGAUUGUAGUCUGCAACUCGACUACAUGAAGUUGGAUUCGCUAGUAAUGGCGCAUCAGCUACGGCGCCGUGAAUACGUUCCCGGGCCUUGUACACACCGCCCGUCACAUCAUGAAAGCCGUCUGCACCCGAAGUCGCCGUACCAACCCUGAUCUUGUAUUAGGGAGGAAGGUUCCGAAGGUGUGGGUGGUGAUUGGGAU